AUAAUGGUUCUUUUGCCAACAGGAGCUGGUAAUCAGGAUGGCAGUGAGGCAGGCACUUGCUUGCGGAAGAACAGGCCUAGUUUUUUAAGAAGCCACGAAAGUGUCUUUAGAUGAUUAGGAUCUAAGGGGCCAACAGCUUUGCAAUAACAGCAUAAAUAUUGUGGGCUGGAUGGACAGGCACCAAAUGGGGACAUUCCAUCCUGCUGUGUGAUGAGAAAGCUGCCACUUCUGAGGCCUUCCAAAACAAAUAAACACUCCAAAUGCCAGAAGGAAAAGCCCAGGAAAGACCUAUUCCAACUGGAGAUGGUGAAUGUCAUUUCUUCAAGAAGCUGAGAUCCAGCUGGUACUGCCAGAUUGUUGUGUUCUUGUUUCUAGGAAUAUGAAGGGAGAAUGAAACAAAACUGCUCCGCUCAGGGAACUUAGAAAUUGAAAAGGCAAGGCACAGGCUGGAAGAAAAUAUUUGAAAAAGAUUUAUGUGACAAAGAACUUCUUUCUGGAUUAUACAAAAUAUUUUUAGAUAUUCUUACAACUCUAAAAUAAGAUAACUCCUUAAAAAUGUGAAUUCUACCAAAGGAGAGAUAAAGAUGACAAAUACAGUCAAAGAUGCUGAAAAUCGCUUAUUUAUUAUUGGGAAGUUACAAGCUACAGCAUAAUGAGAUACCACUACAACCUACUAAACUGACUAAAAUUAAUCAGACU
rnacentral:antisense_RNA from 1 species